ACCCAAGAGAAAUGAAAACUUAUUUCUAUACAAAAUACAUAAUGUUCAUAGCAGCAUUAUUCCUUAUAGCCAAAAAGUGGAAACAAGCUAAACAUCCAUCAAUGAGUGAAUGAAUAAACAAAAGUCAUAUAUCCAUACAACAGAAUAGUAUUUGGCAAUAAAAAGCAAUAAAGUACUAAUAUAUACUACAACAUGAUAAACCUUAAAAAUAUUAUGCUAAGUGGGAGACACCAGUCACAAAAGACCAUAUAUUGUAUGAAUCUACUUAUAUGAAAUGUCCAAAAUAGGCAAACCUAUAGAGACAGAGAGUAGAUUCGUGGUUGCCUAGAAAUGGGGUGUGGUAGGAUGAGAAAAUGACUGCUAAUGGGUAUGGGAUUUGUUUUGCAGGAGGGAAUGAAAAUAUUCUAAAAUUAGAUUGUGAUGAUGGUAUACUGUGAAUAUACUAAAAAACAUUGAGUUAUUUACUUUUAGUGGACAAAUUGCAUGAUAUUUGAAUCUUAUCUCAAUAAAGCUAUUUUUAAAGAUAAAUUAGAUACAAUCAUCACCCUUGAGAAGCUUACAAGUACAAUACGCCUUCAGCAAUCUUUGUGAGGUAAACAAAAAAUCAAGGCAUAAGCUAUAGCAUAAGUUCUGUGGGGGAAAGCAUGAAGAAUUCUAAACUCCUGAUAAGCUUUCAGAACAAAGUCCUCUUUUAAUUGAAAAUACCUUGUACUUUGAAUAAACUAUCCCUACUGCGUUUGGGUAGAGGCCAAUUUAGAAGAGACAAUACAAAAGAUUGGGGGUAAGGGGAAGGACCUGGAGUGGAAUAGCUGGAGUCCUGCUGUAACAAUGGACUCUCAGAAAUGGCAAUAGUAAUAGGCAGAUGCUAGGCAGACAGUAAUACUUACACUAGGUAAUGGAGCAUGCUCUUUUAGUAUGGCUGCUGUCCACAGGACUUCCAAAUAGGCAGCUGGCUAUACAAGUCUCAAAAUCAAAGGAGAGUUCUCAGCCAGGGAUAUAGUUUAUUAGAGUGUCAGAAUACAACAAUAGAAGUGAAUGAAGCAAACUAGGAAGAAUAUAGAAAGAAAAGGGUCUAAGACCAAAGCCCAAGGAAUUUAAAUAUUUAUAGUUCAGGUACAGGAGAAGCUAUAGGAUCCCAGCAGGAAUCUGAUGGCACAUUCAAACUAAGUUGUUUGAACAGAAUUUUAUAAAGAGACUAUUUACAAAGGUGUGGGCAAGGCUUAGGGAAACAGAAAAAGACAGUGCAGUUCUGCCAGGGUUAACAACAGUUGGAGCUUUACUUUCCCCAGAGCUGAAGAAGACAGAGGAAGGAGCAGUUCCAGAACCCUGAGAGGAGAGCUGAACAUAGAAGGCUCCCAGUGGGAGUGGCAGCCUUUUG
rnacentral:lncRNA from 10 species